GCGGGGCACCGGGGGCGCGGAGCCUCCGCCCCGCCGCAGGAGGGAGGCAGGCAGGCAGGGAAGGAGGGAGGUGCCGCCGCCGCGUCCCGGCUCGGGCAGCGGAGCGGCGAGGGGCGGCAGUGGAUUUCACCUGUAAUUCAACUUUCCACACUUGUGUGAAAGCCUUCUGCAGCUUUGAUCAUUCUGAAUUAUUAGCAGCUGGUGUAAAUGACUGCUGCUGCCUCCCAGAGCAAGAUAACCUGCUCAGUCAGCUGGAGCCCCCUGCGGACAGCUGUCUCGCUUUUAGCUGAUGGAAAACUGCUAUAAGCGCUGAAUGGAAGAGCGUGGAGCAGCGACCAUACCGGCACGAGGAGCUGCUGCAGCAGCAGCAGCCGGAGCCAGCGCCAGCGAGGACUCUAUUGUUCCCUGGUGUUAAACAGCUUCUCCUUCCCAACUGCCAUGCACAGCGGCGGGAGAGAGCUUUGCGGUCCCUUUCUUCCCGCGAAGCAAUUCUGAGGAGGGGAGGAUCGUCUGAGGAAGGUUCGGUGGCGGUGCUGCGGGUUC
rnacentral:lncRNA from 1 species